GCCUGUUCUCAAACAGCAUUACCAGCCACCGUAAGAGAAAGUGUGGUCCUGUCUUUAGAACAGCCUGACUCCUGCCCACCUCUGCAGCCUCACUGUUACCCUUGACCUGACCUUCCUAGCAUGCUGAGGUUAUUGGUUGGUUUGUUUAAUGUAUAAGCCACAUCUGCUUCUCAAAGUAUACAAUUCAGUGGUUUCUAUUACAUUCACAGAGUUGUGCAGCCACUUCUACAGUCAAUUUUAGAAUAUUAUCAUCACUCCAAAAAGAAGCCCUUGGCCAUUAUCUCUCACUUCUUUUCCUGCCUAGCCCUAGGCAAUGAUAAUCUACUUCCUGUUCAUAGAUUUACCUAUUCUAGACAUUUCAUUUAGUUUUUGGCUUCUUUACUCAAAAUCAUGUUUCUCUG
rnacentral:lncRNA from 1 species